rnacentral:misc_RNA from 1 species
GUCAAAAGAUAAAAUACACACGUACGGAUCAACAUAAAGACUGAAACGCUUUUAAAAUCAUAACAAUUUUAUCAAUGUCUUUAAUCUUAUAUAAUUCCAAAACCGAACCGUGCCUAUGUCUACAUAAAAGGAAAUCAAAAAGUCUAAGAACUCUAUACUUAAUAUCAACCCAACACAAAUUAUGAAAGCUACGUAUGAGAAAUUAUAAUUUCCCAAAAAAAAAAAAAAUCACAUUUAUUUGUUUUCAGUAAGAUCAUUACAUUGCCCAUCAAUGUAUUCUAAAGCAUACAUAUAUAUAUAUAUAAACAUCAACAAUUCCAAAGUUUUCGGAGAUAGCAAAAGAUGAAAUUAUUAUGCAGGAAGAACCUUCUUCACAAUCUCAUCACUGAGAGCAGCAAUCUGCGAAUCAAGUGAUUUGAUAGUUUCCUCCUUCUGAUUCUCCAAAUUUCCCAAUGCUUCUUGCAAUUCUGCCUCUAUUUUCUUCUUUUCAACGGCAAGCUUCUCCUCCAACUCAGCCUGCGUCUCCUUCUUCAUCUUGUUAAGUGCUGCCGAUAUUUCCGCCCUCGCAGCACGCAUAACCGCCGCAGCUUGCUCUUCUAGCUCCUUUACCUCCCCUGAAGUGUCCUUGACGCUACUCAGCUUCUCCUUGAUCGCGGCGUCUCUCUCGUCCAUGAAUUUUCCAAGAGGAGAGAAGUAAAGCUUGUCCAGAGUGACCAUAAGGAUCAAGAACUGGACCAUCAUGAUUGGGAGGGUUAAGUUGAAGUCAAAGAGAGCAGCUUUUUCAAUUUCUUCGGCGAGAGAGGGCGGAGCAAAGGUGAAGGAGGUGGCUGCAAGGAGUGAGAGAGAUUUGAGGGUGGAAGAAGAGAGGGAUGCGAGUUGGGUUUUGGUGAUUUUGGGGAGUUUGGUGGGGAGGGUGAGUUGGGGGAUUUGGAGUUUGGGUCUGCUGGUGGUGGGGGUGGGGAGGGAGAUAAGGGGUUUGGAAGAGGCCAUGAUCACGGUGGCCAUGGCUGGUGGAUUGGAAUUUGGGGCUUUGGUGAGGAUGGCACUGAAAAUUGAGUGAAUUUUGAAGGAGAGAUUUUGUGCGGAAGUGAAGAGAAGGGUAAAGGGCUAUCUCAUUUCUUCGCCACACAAAUUGCUGAUUUUUGCGCUGGCGAUGGACACAAAAUCCUGAUAGACUGUUUGCACGUGCAUACGUGCGUGGACUCGCCUGGGUUAAAAACGGUCCGGUUCCAGUUCUGAUAUAGACUGGUCCGAUUUUAAGUUCAAAUCCAAUUGUGGCCGGCUAGCUACGCCAAUGAUUUUUGAUAUAUAAUACGCAAUUAUUUUGAGAGAGAGAGAGAGGAGAAGUUUGAGAUCAUUGCCAACAAGUGUUAGCUGAUAUCCUUGAUAUUAAACAAUGCUGAUUUGUAAUCAAAAUUUUCACACCGGAACAUGGCCUACACAGCUUGUUAAAUAUGCAUAAUCUAGAAUGGCACUCAUACUUGCUCUCAAGGCGCCGAACGAAGCAUUGAAGCACCAUGAGUAAAAUGCAAUUCAGGUUGAUCCCUGGCCCUUUCUCCUUUCAUCCUUUUGAGGAUGAUUACUGUCACCACAAAAAACGAUUUUUCUACAACCACUCAUGAAACCAUAGGCAGAUCUGGAGGGAGAGCACUUCAAACUUCCUUCCUGCCUUGCAGCCUGGAGUAUGGGAAUAACCGUUGCAAUAAACCAGCCCACCUGGAUUCCUUGUGUUCAAAAUUUUUAUAUGUAUCAUCAAAAGUGCUGAACUCCCCAUUCUCUACGUUGUAAUGAUUCUCUUCCUCAUCAUUGCCUUUUUUGUUCUCAUAGAUAUUUGGACGUGAACGUGAUAUUGAGAUCUUGUGCUGUUCUGAACAAAAAGUCCAUUUUUUUGAUCUCUUCUUCUUGAAACUACAACUGUUUGAGAUGUGCCUGAUAAAUUGAAGUUGAUCACCAUCCUUGAUGCCAUAGUUUCUGAUGUAAUCAGUUUCUGUAACUAGCUUCUGACCAUCAUACGUUAAGCAGAAAUGGCUCCACACAUGUGGCCAUGAGAUCUUGCCAGGUCCAUUCUGUGUCAUAUCACUGAAGAAAGCUUCCACAGCCUGUCUCAGUUCUGCAAUAGAAGCAGACUUCAUAACUUCAAUAUCGAAACAUGAGCCAUCCAAUCUGAGAAUGGAGAGCUUGAUGGGCUCCUCAGGGAGCUGAAUAUAGGAGAAGUUGCUGUUGCGAGAACGCCCAUCAAUUAUCAUAAGUGGAGAAAAUGCCAAUGAAAUAGACGGCCGGUGGCCGAGAUAACCAUCGGUGUCGAUUCUCAUAUCAAGAAGGCUCAUUAAUUGACGGGUCGGUUCUGCUCUGCUAUAUAAAUGGUACAUCCAAAAGAUUCGUAGAGGAGAGAGACACGCAUCUGUAAACAGGGUGAAUUGCUAGUGUUAAGGUUUCGCCUUUUGUGAUUUUUAGCGCUGUUAUGGAGCUUGUGUCGGGGGAGAUUCGAUCGAGCCAGAUAGAGAAUCUGGAAUUGCUUGUUUGUGGGGGCUUGAAGAAGGUGGCAUUUGGGUUUGAACUUUUAAC